rnacentral:rRNA from 1 species
AAUCCAUAGGUUAAUGAGGCGAACCGGGGGAACUGAAACAUCUAAGUACCCCGAGGAAAAGAAAUCAACCGAGAUUCCCCCAGUAGCGGCGAGCGAACGGGGAGGAGCCCAGAGCCUGAAUCAGCAUGUGUGUUAGUGGAAGCGUCUGGAAAGGCGCGCGAUACAGGGUGACAGCCCCGUACACAAAAGCGCAUGUGCUGUGAGCUCGAUGAGUAGGGCGGGACACGUGGUAUCCUGUCUGAAUAUGGGGGGACCAUCCUCCAAGGCUAAAUACUCCUGACUGACCGAUAGUGAACCAGUACCGUGAGGGAAAGGCGAAAAGAACCCCGGCGAGGGGAGUGAAAAAGAACCUGAAACCGUGUACGUACAAGCAGUGGGAGCACCCUUUGGGUGUGACUGCGUACCUUUUGUAUAAUGGGUCAGCGACUUAUAUUCUGUAGCAAGGUUAACCGAAUAGGGGAGCCGGAGGGAAACCGAGUCUUAACCGGGCGUUAAGUUGCAGGGUAUAGACCCGAAACCCGGUGAUCUAGCCAUGGGCAGGUUGAAGGUUGGGUAACACUAACUGGAGGACCGAACCGACUAAUGUUGAAAAAUUAGCGGAUGACCUGUGGCUGGGGGUGAAAGGCCAAUCAAACCGGGAGAUAGCUGGUUCUCCCCGAAAGCUAUUUAGGUAGCGCCUCGUGAAUUCAUCUCCGGGGGUAGAGCACUGUUUCGGCUAGGGGGCCAUCCCGGCUUACCAACCCGAUGCAAACUGCGAAUACCGGAGAAUGUUAUCACGGGAGACACACGGCGGGUGCUAACGUCCGUCGUGAAGAGGGAAACAACCCAGACCGCCAGCUAAGGUCCCAAAGUCAUGGUUAAGUGGGAAACGAUGUGGGAAGGCCCAGACAGCCAGGAUGUUGGCUUAGAAGCAGCCAUCAUUUAAAGAAAGCGUAAUAGCUCACUGGUCGAGUCGGCCUGCGCGGAAGAUGUAACGGGGCUAAACCAUGCACCGAAGCUGCGGCAGCGACACUGUGUGUUGUUGGGUAGGGGAGCGUUCUGUAAGCCUGUGAAGGUGUGUCGUGAGGCAUGCUGGAGGUAUCAGAAGUGCGAAUGCUGACAUAAGUAGCGAUAAAGCGGGUGAAAAGCCCGCUCGCCGGAAGACCAAGGGUUCCUGUCCAACGUUAAUCGGGGCAGGGUGAGUCGACCCCUAAGGCGAGGCCGAAAGGCGUAGUCGAUGGGAAACGGGUUAAUAUUCCCGUACUUGGUGUUACUGCGAAGGGGGGACGGAGAAGGCUAUGUUGGCCGGGCGACGGUUGUCCCGGUUUAAGCGUGUAGGUGUGUGUUCCAGGUAAAUCCGGUUCACUUUAACACUGAGGCGUGACGACGAGGCACUACGGUGCUGAAGCAACAAAUGCCCUGCUUCCAGGAAAAGCCUCUAAGCAUCAGGUAACAUCAAAUCGUACCCCAAACCGACACAGGUGGUCAGGUAGAGAAUACCAAGGCGCUUGAGAGAACUCGGGUGAAGGAACUAGGCAAAAUGGUGCCGUAACUUCGGGAGAAGGCACGCUGACACGUAGGUGAAGUGAUUUACUCAUGGAGCUGAAGUCAGUCGAAGAUACCAGCUGGCUGCAACUGUUUAUUAAAAACACAGCACUGUGCAAACACGAAAGUGGACGUAUACGGUGUGACGCCUGCCCGGUGCCGGAAGGUUAAUUGAUGGGGUCAGCGCAAGCGAAGCUCCUGAUCGAAGCCCCGGUAAACGGCGGCCGUAACUAUAACGGUCCUAAGGUAGCGAAAUUCCUUGUCGGGUAAGUUCCGACCUGCACGAAUGGCGUAAUGAUGGCCAGGCUGUCUCCACCCGAGACUCAGUGAAAUUGAACUC